CCUACGGGAGGCUGCAGUGAGGAAUAUUGGUCAAUGGGCGCAAGCCUGAACCAGCCAAGUAGCGUGCAGGAUGACGGCCCUACGGGUUGUAAACUGCUUUUAUACGGGAAUAACGUGCCUUACGUGUAGGGCUUUGCAUGUACUGUAUGAAUAAGGAUCGGCUAAUUCCGUGCCAGCAGCCGCGGUAAUACGGAGGGUCCGGGCGUUAUCCGGAUUUAUUGGGUUUAAAGGGAGCGUAGAUGGGUUGUUAAGUCAGUUGUGAAAGGUUCGGGCUCAACCGGGGCAUUGCAGUGGAUACUGGCAGUCUUGAGUCCGCGGAAGGUAGGCGGAAUUCGUGGUGUAGCGGUGAAAUGCUUAGAUAUGACGAAGAACCCCGAUUGCGAAGGCAGCUUGCUGAAGCGGAACUGACACUGAUGCUCGAAAGCGCGGGUAUCGAACAGGAUUAGAUACCCGAGUAGUC
rnacentral:rRNA from 1 species